rnacentral:rRNA from 1 species
AGUGAACGCUGGCGGUAGGCCUAACACAUGCAAGUCGAACGGCAGCACAGUAAUAGCUUGCUCUUCCGGGUGGCGAGUGGCGGACGGGUGAGGAAUACAUCGGAAUCUACUUUUUCGUGGGGGAUAACGUCGGGAAACUUACGCUAAUACCGCAUACGACCUACGGGUGAGAGCAGGGGAUCUUCGGACCUUGCGCGAUUGAAUGAGCCGAUGUCGGAUUAGCUAGUUGGCGGGGUAACGGCCCACCAAGGCGACGAUCCGUAGCUGGUCUGAGAGGAUGACCAGCCACACUGGAACUGAGACACGGUCCAGACUCCUACGGGAGGCAGCAGUGGGGAAUAUUGGACAAUGGGGGCAAGCCUGAUCCAGCCAUGCCGCGUGGGUGAAGAAGGCCUUCGGGUUGUAAAGCCCUUUUGUUGGGGAAGAAAAGCAGCAGGUUAAUACCCCGCUGUUCUGACGGUACCCAAAGAAUAAGCACCGGCUAACUUCGUG